CUUCUACAUCCGCCCGCUUAGCCCAAUAGGGAGAGCGCAGCUCUACGGAUCUCGGGGUCGUAACUUGAGCCCUGUGCGAGGCGUAUGUUCUCCGUGACGAUUUAAUAAAAGACAUUGUGUCUGAAAUCAUUCGACUUUGAGCACAAUGGAAUGGAUUAUUGGUAAUCUGUCCGAGUCUCACCCAAACCUGUGCAAAGUCGCUACAGUGGGACUGCUUCUACCAACCUCCACAGCUGAUUGUGAGAGAGGUUUCAGCAGUUGAAUGUGUAAAGACCACCCGCCAUUCACCAGUGAGCAUGAAAGUGCUUAAUGCCUUACUCAUGGUGUCUAUGCAGGGACAAAAAUUGAAUGACUUUAAUUUCAGUUGUGCAGUAAAGGAACGGCACAGUGCCAAUGACAGACACUUAUAUAAAAAAAUGCCUAUGUGUUGUUAGUGUUAGUACAAAAGAAGUGGAAGGACAUAUGUGUUGUUUCGAAAAUACUUAUAAAAGAAGUGGACAUCUGUGUAGUGUAUAUGAUAUAUUGAUGUUUAUAUGAUUAUGUGAAAAUGUAGAAGUAAUGAAA